CCCUUAGAUGUCCUGGGCCGCACGCGCGCUACACUGAUGCAUGCAACGAGUUUAUAACCUUGGCCUGAAAGGUCUGGGUAAUCUUUUGAACGAGCAUCGUGAUAGGGAUAGAUUAUUGCAAUUGUUAAUCUUGAACGAGGAAUUCCUAGUAAACGCGAGUCAUCAGCUCGCAUUGAUUACGUCCCUGCCCUUUGUACACACCGCCCGUCGCACCUACCGAUUGAAUGGUUCGGUGAAGAUCUCGGACUUCGAUAUUUAUUCUUUAUUGAGUUUAUAUUGUGGGAAGUUAUCUAAACCUCAUCAUUUAGAGGAAGGUGAAGUCGUAACA
rnacentral:rRNA from 1 species